rnacentral:rRNA from 1 species
AUUGAACGCUGGCGGCAUGCCUUACACAUGCAAGUCGAACGGCAGCGCGGGAGCAAUCCUGGCGGCGAGUGGCGAACGGGUGAGUAAUACAUCGGAACGUGCCCAAUCGUGGGGGAUAACGCAGCGAAAGCUGUGCUAAUACCGCAUACGAUCUACGGAUGAAAGCAGGGGAUCGCAAGACCUUGCGCGAAUGGAGCGGCCGAUGGCAGAUUAGGUAGUUGGUGAGGUAAAGGCUCACCAAGCCUUCGAUCUGUAGCUGGUCUGAGAGGACGACCAGCCACACGGGAAGAGAGACACGGCCAAAACUCGGAGGGGGGGAAGCGGGGGGAAUUUUGGAAAAAGGGGCGAAAGCUGGAUCCAGCCAUGGCGGGUGCGGAAUGAGGGCCUUGGGUUUGAAAAUGUUUUUUGGAGGAAACAAACGGUUUUUUUCAAAAAAAGAGGGCUAAUGACGGUACGGAAAGAAAGAGCCGGGGCUAACUAGGU